AUAAACGAAGUGUACCUACCUAUUUUCGCUUCGUUCCAACAAGCCGCUUCAUUACUUAUUAAUUCGUUUCUUUAAUUCGGACUUUUUUUUUGUUUCUUUAAUUAGUUUAUGCGGACUUUUGAGUUAAUUCGUUUGGGGUUCGGAGUAGGAGUCUACUCCGAGGGUGGGGGCUUAGGUUUCAUCAUCAUCACCUUUCAUCUUUACAUUAAUCAUCAAGAAAAAAAAUACGUAAGACAUGGCUGUAUGGGCAUAGUUCCCUUUGCCUUACCCUUUGGGGAAAACCAAAACAAAUAACAAUAACUUCAACCCAAAUUCUGUCGCAUCUAUAAUAAAAUACAAUAAUUAACUUAAUUUUAUUGAAUAAAAAGCCCAAAACUGAUAAAUUCCUCACAAAGUAAACGGUCAAGAGAUGUUGAGACAAUCUAAACUUGUAACAUAAAGAGGAAUUUAUUUAUAUAUCCACUACUAUUACUUUGAGAUUAUUUUGUUGAAUACGAAAUGAGUUGAGAGCAUUUAGUUCUGACGAUCAAGAAGGAAUAUCACACAGGAUUCAUCAUCAUGCAAAUGUUGAGGUUAUGCUGCUCUACAUCAUACGUACUAAAGAAAUAAAUAAAAAGAAUUAACGAAAAUAACAUAAGUGUGAGAGUAGAAUCUGUGACGCCAACUAAAGUAAUACAUGAACAGUGUCUUCACCUAUAAUUAAUAAAUAAUGUACUAGUGGAAAUGA
rnacentral:lncRNA from 1 species